rnacentral:rRNA from 1 species
UAACUUAAAACUUUAAGAAUUUGGCGGUAAUUUAGUCUUGUCAGAGGAACCUGUUUAAAAUUAAUCGAUACACCUCGUAAUAUCUUACUUAUUUUUAGUUUGUAUACCAUCAUUAUUAGAUAAUUUUUAGAGAAAUAAAUAUUAAAAUUAAUUUGUUAAAAAAAUUAGAUCAAGGUGCAGCAUAUAAAUAAGUUUAAAUGGGUUACAAUAAAUUUUAUUUAGAUGGAAAAGAAUUAGUAAGUUGAAUCUAGGAAAGAGGAUUUGAUAGUAAUAUAGGUUUAACAAGCCUAUAUGAUAGAAGCUCUAAAUUAUGUACACAUCGCC